rnacentral:rRNA from 1 species
GGAUGUAUAGCGAAAGCUAAUUGUAUUAAAUAUAUACAAUACCGAUUUAUUCGGCUAAAAUUCUGGGUAGAGUUUUGAUGAUGACAUUACCUAUCUACAUGUCUUGACCAAAUUCUGUGCCAGCAGUCGCGGCAAUACAAAGAAGACUUGUGUUAUUCAUGUUAAGUCGGUUUAAAGGGUAACUAGACGGUAAAUAAAGCCUAAUUGGAACUAAUUUACUAGAGUUUAAUAUAAGGGAGCAUAAAAGUACUGAUAGGUGUAGAGAUGAAAUUCGUUGAUACCAUAUAUGGCACAGGUUUAGGCGAAAGCAUCUCCUUAUGUAAAAACUGACGUUGAGGGACGAAGGCUAUGUGCAGCAAAUAGGAUUAGAUACCCUAGUAGUUUUAGCAGAAAAUUAUGAAUGUUAUAGGAUAGACCAUUUUAUAAUAAUGAUGUGCUUUUAGCUCAUGCUAAGCCCCUAUUUUAUAAUCUAUUAUUCUAUAAAUGAAAGUGUAAGCAUUCCACCUCAUGAGUAAUUUGGCAACAUUGGAAUUGAAAUCAUUAGACCGUUUCUGAUACAAGCAGUGAAGUAUGUUAUUUAAUUUGAUAAUCCGCAAAAAACCUUACCACAUUUUGAAUAUUACUUUAUAGUAUUACAAGUGCUGCAUGGUUGUCUUCAGUUAAUGUCGUGAGACUUUGGUUAACUCCACUUAAUUAACGUAAACCCUUAUUUUAUUUAUUAAUAAAUUAGAUCCCCUUUAGAUUGGAUAUGAUACAUGGGACUAAGACAAAUCAU